rnacentral:lncRNA from 1 species
AGGGCAACUCGAUGUGGUGGUACUGUGGGAAAAAGUGGUAAUAAAGAGGGAGACACAGGCGCUCAGAGUAUUCUGCUGGAAGGACAAAAGGCAGCGAAGAGAAUGUGGAUCAUUAGAAUUGUGAUUGGUCUGAGAGAAAAGCUGCAGACUUUUUCUGGGAAAAUGGUCAACACUGUGAUCAGUGAUGAAGAAAAGGGAAUCCAAGACAAGGAGGGCAAGGAGGAGUCCAUUCUGGCCAUGCUUGGAAUCAUUGGGACCAUACUAAACCUCGUUGUCAUCAUCUUUGUCUACAUUUACACCACACUGUAGUCAACCCCUCCGCUGCUCCCGGAAGGCAAAGAAUCACCCUGACUUCCCGCCAUGCCUAAUGGUUCAGACUCCAGACUGGCUGUCCAGGCCGUUGACUCGCCCGACUGCCACAUAGAUCUCAGACAAUGUUAUUACGGCAAGACUAACUUACGGUUACAUCGAAAAAGGCCCCAGAGAAUCACCAGGGCUUCCCGUUACUGGGUCACUACCACUGUCACAGAACAAGCCCUUACUCCACUGUAAAUAUGCAUGAACAUGCUUUACUGCUGUGAUGAUGGCCUCGUCACAAACAUGGAGGAGCCAAUGAAACUCUUUUCAGUGACUUUAAGUGAGCGAAAUGAGCUUUCUAGCAUUUUUUGAUGUACUGUUUGAAAUGGCACUGAUGCUGUAGGUUAAACCCAUUUAUGAAAUCCACAAAUGGCAACUCUGUGCAGUAUGUUGCUCACCUUGUCAAGGACAUAUUGAGUAUAGUUGUAAAUGCUUUAUUUUACGCAAUACAUUUUGCAUCUUGCGUAUGACACUCCAUAAAUAUGGGAUUUUGUCAAUCACGAAACAUGAGCAAAAGAGCAUGCCUGAUUUAAGUGAUGCAUCCACACUUUUUACAAAGAUGGAGAUUUUACCAUGAGGCAUUCCUUUCAGAAGUGUUGUCUAGGAGCUGAUUUUUUUUUGUCAUGGUCUCAGAAUCUGAAAGCAGCUGGCUGCAAAGGACCUCUACAGGAAUCAUGGAUUCAUUAUCUUCAUGAUCAGCAUUUAACUUCUAUAUAAUGAUCAGGUCAGUAUCUGAGCUAGUGGUCAUGCUUAAUGUAAGGAUGCCUCACGAAGGCUUUGCAAGUCUGCAAUGUUUUUUUCUUAAAUGCAUCACCGUGUUUUAUUUGAUUGGUUUACUGCUCUGUUUUGUAGCUCAUUUGUAGGGUAGGAUGAAAUAGAUGCAUUUGUGUUCUACACAGUUGUAACGAGCUAUUUCAGUAUUUUUCAGCUUAUAUUGCCUUAUGAAAUAAAAAGGGAAUUUGAAUCUUAUAUCCA